CAACACUUUUAACCAACUCAAAUAGAAAUAGUUUAACUCAUUACACGUUCACUGAUAUCUCAAUAUGGCAGUUAAAUUGGAAGACAGUAAUAUGGCCAAUUAUGGCUCCGAAGAACACAAAGAAAUGAGAAAAGAUGCCGCCAAAAAAGAGAAAGCAUGGGAGGGUGUCG
rnacentral:ribozyme from 1 species